AAUUAAAACCAGCAGGGAAGAUGGAGGGCCGGGACUACAACGCCCUUCCCCAGAAGCAGAAACACUCAGCCUGACUCACACACGAUACAUCAGAUUUUCUCCAGCAGGCAUUUGGAGGGAAGAAGAGAAAUUCGAGUCCAGGCCACCCUCCAUCUCCUAACCCAGUAAACUCCGUGUCUGGGUGGGUGACACAUCCCUGACUCGCUGCCACCUCAGCGGAGUCCCAGUGCGGGACGAACCAGCUUGGCUUCCCGUGCGUGGAAAUGUUUGCAUCUGCAUUUUUCAGCAAAGGAAAGUCUCCGAAUCUCCCCAGUUCCAGCAUGCUAUCUUCCUGAUAUUCCCUCCCUUCAGUGCAAUGCCUGGCACCAUUUAUUCCUGGGAAGGACCUCAAGACCACCCAGAAUUCUACAAUGGGAGGGUUCUACAAGGUCCCAGUGCCGUGCUGGGACCAGGUGCCAAAAACCACCAGCUUGAAAACAAGUGAGCUGACCGCCUGGGCUGCCCUAACAGCUGGUUUUUACUUCACUGACACUGACCAUGGAAGAUGGUUGGAAAAAAUAAAGGUGAUCAUAGGAAUAUAAACACAAAACAAAGCAAAAAAAAAAAAAA